GCCAAACCGGUUAGGGCAGGAGAGUCUCUUUUGCAGGCCAUGUAGCCAUUGCUAACAAGGAGCCAGCAGACAAAACGGUGCUUCAAAGUAGCUUCACACAGUGGCUGCGCCAAGCAGCCCUUGCUAAUACAGUAGCAAACAGGAGCCAUACCAAGCAGCCACCCACUGGCUGGUUAGUAACACGUUUAUACUAACUUAGACACAAAGGCUUCCUGCCGAGUAGUGACAUCAGUAUUUGGGUUAUAGUAAGGUACUCCUGCCCAGUGUGUACAGUACAAUCUCUGUGUCCUUGCUUAGAUUGGCCUUGAACAUCCUGAUUAGGAUUCUCCUGCUCAGAUUGGCCUUGAACAUCCGGCGUACUCUGAUGAGGCUCCCACAGGCACUAUCUCAGUCAUGGCCCAAGUUUAAGUGUUCUCAAAACUGACUUAUCAGAAGGAGGAAAAAGUGUCAUGAAUGUGACAUAACCGUUCUCUCAGGAAUAACACUUAAUUCACAGAAAACUUAACUGCAACCCUAGAGGAGCUGCAUGGGAACCACAGGCUCAGAUAUUUCAGCCAAGAAAGCUGCUGGUGCCAAAAAGACCUCAGAGGAGAAACCAAGUCAAAUUAAACUGUUUGUGAUGUGAAAGCCAUUUCCAACACUGUUUUUAAAGGUUGUCUAGUGCUGACAUGAAUGUUUGUUUUGAUUCCUGUAUUUGAGGAUUGCAGCUUAACCUCUAUGCCACAAAACCGUUUUCCAUAUAAGAGUUGUCUGAGACAGAACUGUCAUCCACCUUCUACAGUGGCCGAAUUUGACUGGCUGUCAGUUACUGUUCGUAGAAAUGUUCUGGAAGUAAGGGGUGAGGGCUGUUUCCACCCACAGCUCAUCCACUUCUUUGUAGUAAUAAGCUGAACUGUAGUAGAUUAUGUUCUUUCAAAGCUAGAACUGUUAAGUUUGCAAACAAGCAUGACUGUUCCAUUGCCAGUAAUUUUAUUCAUGCCUUGGUCUUUUGGGUUUGCACCAGAAAUUGGAAUUGCUUGCAAUUAUAUGUUUAGGUGGAUUGAGGCUCAAAAUUAAUGAUGACAUUGAAUAGUUUCUUAAAGCACCAAGUGGUUCAACUUUUGAUGAAUUAGAAAUGAUAUGUUGUUUUUGUUUGUUUCAUUUCAAUAUGCCAGUGAUCUGUUAGGUGUGCUUUUUAAAUGUUGUUCCAGCAUUUGAACAGAAAUGCCCUUAAAUGUUGAGAGCCAUUUACUAUAAAGUAAAACUUGUCUAAAUCCUUAAAUGUGAAAUGUGGAGAAAUUAGUGAGUAGUAGUAGGAAAUGUAGGAUCAAUAUUGUCAGACAUAAGUGCUUAUCUCUCAGCCCAGUGAUUUCCUACAGUUGAUUUUGUCAGCAACUAACAUGUAGCUGUAAUGUUAAUUAUGUACUGAUAGUGUAAGGUAACUAUGAAAUGGUAACUAAUUACCUGAAAGAAUCAGAUCUGGAAUGCCCUUUGAUGUUAUGAUUACUUGUACACCUACAGUGUGAUAGGAUUGUAUGACACUCAUCUAAGGAUUAAUGGCUCUUCUGUAAACUUCUGAUAAUUUUCUUCUCGUUUUGAUUCCAACAGCUGUCCAGAAUGUGUUUGAAUUCAUACAGAAAUAAUAUUGAUAUCUGAAAGCCAUGUUGAACUUCUCUGAAGAAAGGGAAACAAUGAUUGCAGCUGGGGAUUUGCAGGAAUUUGUUCCUUUUGGUCGAGACCACUGCAGACACCACCCUAAUGCUUUGAACCUUCAGCUUCGGCAGCUGCAGCCAGCCUCUGAGUUGUGGUCGUCUGAUGGUGCUGCUGGCUUGGUGGGAUCCCUGCAGGAGGUUACAAUCCACGAAAAACAGAAGGAAAGCUGGCAGUUAAGGAGAGGCGGAAGUGAAAUUGGAGAAGUGGAUUAUGACGAGGAACUCUAUGUGGCUGGAAAUAUGGUGAUCUGGAGCAAAGGAAGUAAAAGCCAGGCAUUGGCUCUUUACAAGGCCUUUACAGUUGAUAGUCCUGUUCAACAGGAAGAGUCCCACAUCUCCUUCUGGAGAAGGUGCUGUGGAGACUGUGGAAAUGACAUGAAAGAGCCUCAAAUCUCGUGGAGAAAGUGCUUUGGAGACUGGAAAUGACAACAGAGGAUUUAGAAGAUCACUAAAGUUAUUUAGUAUUUACUGAAUUCAGACCACCACCAGAAGGUUGAGUCUCACCUUUUGAACAGAUCUUUAUGUCUGAAUCCUUUGGAAAGUUUCUCAGAUGAAGGAUGAAGACUUGUCACAGAAUCUCAGUCUGGAUUCUUCUACACUUCUCUCACAUACCUGCAAUCUUUUUCCUUCUUCACUGGGUCUCUGAGGAGCCUAAAUGGAAUACUCUGAUGGGAGAAGGAAUUCAUUCACUUGUUGACCCCCCUUGUUCAGUUGGCAAGGGACUAAAAAUUGGAGUUUUACUUAGAUCAUUACUGCAAGGAUUACACAAUGCUUUUCAGAACAACUGAAGAAGUAUGCACACUUGAUCAAGGAGUGUUAAGGAUCUCAUUCAGUGUGGAAGCUGAGAAUUAUAAGCAGCAGAAUAGUGAUGAAGCUAACAGUAGGGACUUGUCUUUCUCACAAAAGAACAAGUCCACAGGUAGGUGGAUCCAAUAUUGAACUCAGCUGCUCAGUGAUGUCAGGGUAAGCUCCCAGCAUCAACGAGAGGAAAAAAAUCCUCUCCUCGCUAUUGUGCUUUAUAUCAGGGAGGAAAACAGUGUCUCAGAAAUCAACUAUGAGACUCUUGCGUGAACCCUUGGGCAGAACGCGCCAAAUUGCAAGGGACAUGGGGCAGUUUAGUGUCAAAGUGCUCCUGAAGGAGGUGCCUCAGCCCAGGAGGAGGUGGUG